GCUUUUGUAGGCCCUAAAAAUGGGAUCCGCGGCUCAUCGCGUCAAGCUCGGAUCCCACUAAACCGAGGGCUGCCAUGGAUGCACGGAGCGGGGAGGCCAGGAUACGCAUCACACAGACGGAGGUGACACUCAAACACACCGCUGUGUAACAGAAGGGCGACACCUCGGGUUUUGCAAAAAAAGCACCUCCGAGCCUUCGGGUUGGCAGCGAGUGUCAGAACGUUCUGUUUUGAAAAAUUCUGGCAGUGGCAGAAGAACAGACAAAUUCUAAUGGAAGCUCGACGUCUACAGAUAGGCUCUCCAUGGAUGGGAUUCUAAAGAUCUAUCUUUAGGGGGAGUUCCCCGAAGUCUCCGCAAGGAACAGAGCUGCGGAUUUCAAACGCGGUCCACUUCGAUUCGCGCAGUGCCUGCAUACCUGCUUCAAUAGAAGGGAGCGAUACUCACCCGAGUGUGCGGACAGCCCAGAGGUCCCUGCAGCACCCGUGUCCUCAGUGGAAUACCAUCUUGCAUCCGCGGAAGCUCCCAGCCUCCACUCGAUGUUAACAUUUACGCUAUCUCAAAUACCAGGCUCUCCCAUAGACAUUUUUUCCAGGGUUUUCAAGCAAAUUUCUCGGUGCCAUAACAUUAUGAUGGAAGGAUGCUGAAAUGACAGGCCUCGUAGACGCUUGUCUUAAUCAUCGGCUUCUUAAUUUAGUUUUAGUGCUAUGGUUUUGUGUGUGCGCGUGUGUGUCUGCGCGUGUGUGCGCGCAAGAGAAGGCUCUGACAACCUGCAGCUUCCUAAUGACUGACGAGGCAGGGCUGCUGCCGCAAAGUAACACUUCCCUGGUGUGAAGACCUCUCACUGGGAAGUUUAGUUCACUACUGUUCUCGCAAUGCUAAUCGUAUAACCUGUAACCAAAACCCAGGCAAGAAGGAUACAGCAUGCUAAAUAGAGUAACUUCUAAUCACUAAACGUUAGCACUACGACCAGCUGUUAGGGAUUAACUGAAAGUCGGUUAGAGACAGACACCUAAACUUAAAUAUACAAACGCGGAUGUAAGGGUGGACCGCUGAAUACGUCUUCCUCUCUCUCUUAGCUUCCAUUCAUUCCUCCACCUCCAGUCCCAUUCACCCCUCUUCAAUCUGUAUGACCACCUCUCGCCUUUGUUAGCGCUGCGUUCCGGCCCCGCUCGCCCUGCCCGAGCAGCGGGAUAUCGCUGUCUGCUGAGCUGCUCUUACCUUAAUUGCCCAGGUAACCUGGAAUAAAUAAGACAAGCUUAGAAUCCGGGGGAUAGAGUUAUAAAUGCGUACGUCCAGGCAUUUACUGUACCCAACGCGAUGUUAGAGGUUGUUAAUCUAAGGUGUCCCGACUCUUUUCGUGGACACAUGAUGCCAUCGAAGCGUGGUUAUUAAAUACUCUUUCUUCAUGGCUGAAAAAACCCUCAUUCAUUCCUUAAGCUGUCAGGACAUUUUAGCAGCUUAACCCCUUGGAAGAGCCUGGGAGUGCAGAGCCGCUGUAUUCGUGUAAAGGGGGACUGGAGGCUGGAGCCGCGGGGGGUGUGGGGGCCACAGCAUAUCUGCAUCCAUCGAGCUGACAGUGGUACUCUUUUCCUUCGGCCUU
rnacentral:lncRNA from 7 species